rnacentral:rRNA from 1 species
CCUGAUGACCAUAGCAGUUGGUACCACUCCUUCCCAUCCCGAACAGGACAGUGAAACGACUUUGCGCCGAUGAUAGUGCGGGUUCCCGUGUGAAAGUAGGCAUCGUCAGGC